rnacentral:rRNA from 1 species
UAAGUAGGGGGCGAACGUUGUCCGGAUUUACUGGGUGUAAAGGGUGCUCAGGCGGUCUUGUAAGUCAGAGGUGAAAUCUCAAGGCUUAACCUUGAAACUGCCUUUGAUACUGCUGGGCUUGAGUACGGAAGAGGCGGAUGGAAUUUCUGGUGUAGCAGUGAAAUGCGUAGAUAUCAGGAGGAACACCGGUGGCGAAGGCGGUCCGCUGGUCCGUUACUGACUCUAAAGCACGAAAGCGUGGGGAGCAAACAGG